rnacentral:rRNA from 1 species
CCUACGGGACGCAGCAGUGGGGAAUCUUGCACAAUGGGCGAAAGCCUGAUGCAGCGACGCCGCGUGGGCGAAGAAGGCCUUUGGGCCGUAAAGCCCUGUCGGGAGGGAAGAAGGAAGCGACGGUACCUCCCAAGGAAGCCCCGGUUAACUACGUGCCAGCAGCCGCGGUAACACGUAGGGAGCAAGCGUUAUCCGGAUUUACUGGGUGUAAAGGGAGCGUAGACGGCUGCGCAAGUCAGAAGUGAAAGCCCGGGGCUCAACCGCGGG